GAUACAUUAACGAUACAUUAACACUCCUCAAUACGAUAGACACACUCCAAGUGAUAACAAAUGAAUUUAGCGGAGAAUGGUGGAGGAGUAAUUAAUGGGAGAAUUUUCGUUUCGCUAUCGUUAUUCAGUUCGGUUGGCGCGGAAAGACAGGGUGCAGGUGUUGCCUGUGUCAGAUAAUGGCUCGGCUAUCUGCACAUCCGCUAAUUCGGGAUAGGAGCUCGCCGGCAAAAUCCUGACAGCAGGGAGUUUUGGCCGAGUGGUCGCCACACCACGAUAGAUAGAUAGAUAGAUAGAUAGAUAGAUAGAUAGAUAGAGAGAGAGAGAGAGAGAGAGAGAACUGGUAAUUGGUGUCUGAAAGCUGUUUUCACCCGGAAACCAAUCGUCCUCCUCUUCGACGAAACUUUCGCAGCGGAGUUUCCAGAUGUAGACCAUCCACCGUCGUGUAACCAAUCGUCGAAACCGUGCCACCCAGCAACCCGUGGAAGAAAAAUUGCGGCCGGUGAAGCGCGAAAACUGUGCAGGGAACACGUGGAAAAGUUUGGUGGCCGUGGUUGGCUAGCGUGAAACCGCAUCACUUUUCUGAUCGCCGAUAUCACGGGAAUACUCUGAUUGAACCGUUACAGAAACGUUACAGAACAGGGUGCAGAAAAAAACCUUUAGGUAAAUCUUGAAGAGAAAUGGCACGGUGGUAUUGAAAUAAGGCAGUCUCGACAUCCAACAAAGAUAAUAAUAAAAAGAAAAGAAAUUGAUUUUCGAAACUGUGAGUCUAGAAACAAGUCUCAGGAUCGUUUUACCGGAUGUCUAUUCGUUGUGUAAGAAUUUAGAAGCGAGUCAGUCCCGGCAAACUACAAUUUUCCAGGACGUCAACCAUAUCGACGAAAUGAUCUCGAUAGGUGAGGGGCAGAAAAAGAGUAACCUCAUCUGCAUACUUGCACCCUCACUCCCUCCUCGACCUCCUCCCUCCCUUAUCGAACCUUUCAGCAUUCCUUUGCUGUCAUAUAGCACGCGACAUUGGGCUGGUCGUAUGCAUGGCUCGUGCCAGUUGGUAACCCCCGUGUAAUUCUUUUUUCGGCAAGAAUCGGUUCUCAGGAGAUUGGAAAGGUGGAAAUGAGAUUUCCAGGGGCAAUUUGAAGCGAGUUUGUGCCGGUAAAAGGGUCGAGAUGAAGGGAAGGGGAGGGUUCUUGUGACGAAGAAGAGGAGGAAGUCGAGACGGGGUCGAGGGCUGAGAUGAGGAGACGGAUACACACGGGUAAGAGGAGGGGCGAGGGGGAGGGAAAAAAGAAAAGGGAAGAAAGCGCGGAAUGAGCUGCUUUAUUAUGUCUUGGUGGAGAAAAUUUAUCAGUCAUCUUCUCUCUUUGAUCUAUCCUCCCCCUUAAGCUUAACGUGCUACGAUUUCUUUCGAGGAAAAAUUAAAAGGAACGAGGCAUAUAGUAUUAAGAUAGACGUGAUCGUGUAUAGUUACUAGAGAUCGUUGCAGAAGCUGAUAUAUAUUGUUUUUUUUUUUUAAUGUAAUACGAUAAAUCGAUAUAUAUAUAUAAUACAACGAGAUGGAACUCAAGUUUGAUGGAAUUCGCUGUUGCCGUGGGUGUUGGAAUUCCAAGAGUAUGGAUUGAACGUUACAGAUUCAAUUAUAGUUACGAACACAAAUUUCCACGGGAUCAGACCGGUUUACCUACCGAGUUUGUUCCAUUUUCCGGAUAAGGGAUUACCGGGAGAAAUGUGGUUGGAUUAUUUUAAGACGUGCAACGUUAACUCACAAGAAGUUUCCUGGCCGACUUCAAACACAUUUUGGAGACUUAACAGGGCUUAAAUCGUUCCAAUGCCUGGGGAAUAAUUUACUUUGGACCGGUAUAGGAGAGGUAUCUUUGAUCGAAACUUGAUCGAAAACGCCACAAUUAAUUACAUUGAAAAAAAAAAGAUGACGACAGAAUUAUCAAAUCUUUUCUAAUUCCUAUAUAUUCUCAUUGAUUCACGUGUCGAAUUAACAUCCAAACAAGGAAACGAACUUGAAGUGAUAAUUCCAAAAAUAGAUCAAUCGUAAAAUUAUCGAUAAGCUUAUUCAUCUACAGUCUUUCACACGACACUUUCAUUUUCCAUCUUUUUGAUGAAAGAACACAAGAUGGAAGAAGAUUACUCAAACAAAUUCAACCACUUGGAGAACAAGAUCGACCACCAACGUGAUUUUCAAGCAGAUUCAUUUAUCAGCAACCCCUUACUUCGCUGCCAUCAUUUCAACGAGAUUCAGUAUUUCCAAGUUGAAAGUGAAUCACUGGAAGCACCAAGACAAUGUAUAAUUGGGACCAUUCCAACAUAUAUAAUAUGUAAUAUAAUUAUAAAAAUAUAAUGUAUAUAAU